UGUCCAGACUCCUACGGGAGGCAGCAGUGGGGAAUAUUGCACAAUGGGGGAAACCCUGAUGCAGCGACGCCGCGUGAGCGAUGAAGUAUUUCGGUAUGUAAGGCUCUAUCAGCAGGGAAGAAAAUGACGGUACCUGAAGAAGAAGCCCCGGCUAACUACGUGCCAGCAGCCGCGGUAAUACGUAGGGGGCAAGCGUUAUCCGGAUUUACUGGGUGUAAAGGGGGCGCAGACGGCGAUGCAAGCCAGGAGUGAAAGCCCGGGGCCCAACCCCGGGACUGCUCUUGGAACUGCGUGGCUGGAGUGCAGGAGGGGCAGGCGGAAUUCCUGGUGUAGCGGUGAAAUGCGUAGAUAUCAGGAGGAACACCAGUGGCGAAGGCGGCUUGCUGGACAGUAACUGACGUUGAGGCUCGAAAGCGUGGGGAGCAAACAGGAUUAGAUACCCCCGUACG
rnacentral:rRNA from 1 species